GACGAACGCUGGCGGCGUGCUUCAUACAUGCAAGUCGAACGAGAAGCUGACUUCGGUCAGUGGAAAGUGGCGGACGGGUGGGUAAUAGGUGGGAAAUCUGCCUUUAGGAGGGGGACACCGGAGGGAAACUUCUGCUAAUACCCAAUAUAGCGGAACCUGAAAUGCUAUUUUUGAAACCUCCGGUGCCUAAAGAUGAGCCUGCAUCUGAUUAGCUAGUUGGUAGUGUAAUGGACUACCAAGGCGACGAUCAGUAGCUGGUUUGAGAGGAUGAUCAGCCACAAUGGGACGGAGACACGGCCCAUACUCCUACGGGAGGCAGCAGUAGGGAAUUGUGCGCAAUGGGCGAAAGCCUGACGCAGCAACGCCGCGUGAACGAUUAAGCCCUUCGGGGUGGAAAGUUCUGUCAGUGGGGACGAAACUUGACGGUACCCACAGAGGAAGCACCGGCUAACUCCGUG
rnacentral:rRNA from 1 species